rnacentral:rRNA from 1 species
UACGAAGGGGGCUAGCGUUGUUCGGAAUUACUGGGCGUAAAGGGCGCGUAGGCGGCUUAACAAGUCACUUGUGAAAUCUCCGGGCUUAACUCGGAACGGCCAAGUGAAACUGUCAAGCUAGAGUGCAGAAGGGGCAAUCGGAAUUCCUGGUGUAGCGGUGGAAUGCGCAGAUAUCAGGAGGAACACCGGUGGCGAAGGCGGGUCUCUGGGCAGUAACCGUCGCUGAGGAGCGAAAGCGUGGGGAGCGAACAGG